rfam:Triticum urartu cultivar G1812 contig1450854, whole genome shotgun sequence.
GGAAAAAUCUCCAUUUGGUAAGGUAAGAUACUUGCUAUGUAUUGUGUUAAUACACUUAGGUGUUCAAAUCACCUUUUUUCCG